AUUGAACGCUGGCGGCAUGCCUUACACAUGCAAGUCGAACGGCAGCACGGGAGUAAUCCUGGUGGCGAGUGGCGAACGGGUGAGUAAUACAUCGGAACGUGCCCAGUAGUGGGGGAUAGCCCGGCGAAAGCCGGAUUAAUACCGCAUACGACCUACGGGUGAAAGCGGGGGAUCGCAAGACCUCGCGCUAUCGGAGCGGCCGAUGUCAGAUUAGGUUGUUGGUGGGGUAAAGGCCACCAAGCCGACGAUCUGUAGCUGGUCUGAGAGGAUGAUCAGCCACACUGGAACUGAGACACGGUCCAGACUCCUACGGGAGGCAGCAGUGGGGAAUAUUGGACAAUGGGCGCAAGCCUGAUCCAGCCAUGCCGCGUGUGUGAAGAAGGCC
rnacentral:rRNA from 1 species